ensembl:miRNA gga-mir-6686 gga-mir-6686
CCCUCACCCCUCGCUGCAGGUGAAGCUCGCUGGGGCUGCUCUGUUUGCUGAAACACAAGCAUGCAGGGCAAUCCUGGAGACGCUGACACACAUCUAUCAGUAAACCAGCC